rnacentral:rRNA from 1 species
CAGCAGCCACGGUAAUACGAAGGGUGCAAGCGUUACUCGGAAUUACUGGGCGUAAAGCGUGCGUAGGUGGUGGUUUAAGUCCGUUGUGAAAGCCCUGGGCUCAACCUGGGAAUUGCAGUGGAUACUGGGUCACUAGAGUGUGGUAGAGGAUAGUGGAAUUUCCGGUGUAGCAGUGAGAUGCGUAGAGAUCGGAAGGAACAUCUGUGGCGAAGGCGACUAUCUGGGCCAACACUGACACUGAGGCACGAAAGCGUGGGGAGCAAACAGGAUUAGAUACCCCGGUAGUCCCUGUCUCUUAUAA